rnacentral:rRNA from 1 species
GACGAACGCUGGCGGCGUGCUUAACACAUGCAAGUCGAGCGGUGAGGCCCUUUCGGGGGGUACACGAGCGGCGAACGGGUGAGUAACACGUGGGUGACCUGCCCUCAGCUCUGGGAUAAGCCUGGGAAACUGGGUCUAAUACUGGAUAUGACUCCACGGUGCAUGUCGUGGGGUGGAAAGCCUUGUGCGGCUGAGGAUGGGCCCGCGGCCUAUCAGCUUGUUGGUGGGGUGAUGGCCUACCAAGGCGACGACGGGUAGCCGGCCUGAGAGGGCGACCGGCCACACUGGGACUGAGACACGGCCCAGACUCCUACGGGAGGCAGCAGUGGGGAAUCUUGCGCAAUGGGCGAAAGCCUGACGCAGCGACGCCG